CCUACGGGUGGCUGCAGUGGGGAAUAUUGGACAAUGGGCGCAAGCCUGAUCCAGCCAUGCCGCGUGAGUGAUGAAGGCCUUAGGGUUGUAAAGCUCUUUCAGUGGGGACGAUAAUGACGGUACCCACAGAAGAAGCCCCGGCUAACUUCGUGCCAGCAGCCGCGGUAAUACGAAGGGGGCUAGCGUUGUUCGGAUUUACUGGGCGUAAAGCGCACGUAGGCGGAUCGUUAAGUCGGGGGUGAAAUCCUGGAGCUCAACUCCAGAACUGCCUUCGAUACUGGCGAUCUUGAGUCCGGAAGAGGUGAGUGGAACUCCUAGUGUAGAGGUGGAAUUCGUAGAUAUUAGGAAGAACACCAGUGGCGAAGGCGGCUCACUGGUCCGGUACUGACGCUGAGGUGCGAAAGCGUGGGGAGCAAACAGGAUUAAAUACCCCGGUAGUC
rnacentral:misc_RNA from 1 species